CUCAAACCUGUGGGGACAUCGUUACCAUACUGCUUCAUUUAGUGACCUGUACUAAGCUCUGACACCGCAUACAGCUGGGGUCUCAUUCUGUCAUCUAAGAUAAAAGGUUCUUUAAUAUUUAUCAGUUUUACUGGACUCUGCACAUUAUUCUCCUCACCGUAAUCACCUUGCUGAAACGGAAAAUUUAAAUAGUCACUUUAACUUCUUAAAAAUGUCUUCAUGUAAUGAGUUGGCACUAAGCAAAGGACACAAUAUAAUAAUAAUAUAUUAGUCAC